UACGGAGGGGGCUAGCGUUGUUCGGAAUUACUGGGCGUAAAGCGCACGUAGGCGGCUUUGUAAGUUAGAGGUGAAAGCCCAGGGCUCAACCCUGGAAUUGCCUUUAAGACUGCAUCGCUUGAAUCAUGGAGAGGUGAGUGGAAUUCCGAGUGUAGAGGUGAAAUUCGUAGAUAUUCGGAAGAACACCAGUGGCGAAGGCGACUCACUGGACAUGUAUUGACGCUGAGG
rnacentral:rRNA from 1 species